rnacentral:rRNA from 1 species
UUGGAGGGCAAGUCUGGUGCCAGCAGCCGCGGUAAUUCCAGCUCCAAUAGCGUAUAUUAAAGUUGUUGCAGUUAAAAAGCUCGUAGUUGAAUUUCGGGAUCAGAGUGUCGGUCGUGCCUCGGUACGCACUGGUAUUAUUGGUUCCUACCUUCUGAAGAACCGCGAUGUCAUUAAUUUGGUGUCGUGGGGAAUCAGGACUGUUACUUUGAAAAAAUUAGAGUGUUUAAAGCAGGCUUACGCUUGAAUACAUUAGCAUGGAAUAAUGAAAUAGGACGUUUGAUUCUAUUUUGUUGGUUUCUAGGAUUGACGUAAUGAUUAAUAGGGAUAGUUGGGGGCAUUAGUAUUCAAUUGUCAGAGGUGAGAUUCUUGGAUUUACUGAAGACUAACUACUGCGAGAGCAUUUGCCAAGGAUGUUUUCAUUAAUCAAGAACGAAAGUUAGGGGAUCGAAGACGAUCAGAUACCGUCGUAGUCUUAACCAUAAACUAUGCCGACUAGGGAUCGGAUGAUGUUAAUUUUUUAAUGACUCAUUCGGCGCCUUACGGGAAACCAAAGUGUUUGGGUUC